GUGUCAGCCGCCGCGGUAAUACAGAGGGUGCAAGCGUUAAUCGGAAUUACUGGGCGUAAAGCGUGCGCAGGCGGUUGUGUAAGACAGGCGUGAAAUCCCCGGGCUCAACCUGGGAAUGGCGCUUGUGACUGCACGGCUGGAGUGCGGCAGAGGGGGAUGGAAUUCCGCGUGUAGCAGUGAAAUGCGUAGAUAUGCGGAGGAACACCGAUGGCGAAGGCAAUCCCCUGGGCCUGCACUGACGCUCAUGCACGAAAGCGUGGGGAGCAAACAGGAUUAGAUACCCUCGUAGUCC
rnacentral:rRNA from 1 species